rnacentral:lncRNA from 1 species
UGGUGUUACAGCUGUUCGUAGUGAGGCUGCUGGAGUUUGGCUAUACAAACAUUGACUUAAUGAGUUCUUGUAGUGGAUGUUAGCGACAGUUGGUUUACUGUAAGAGUAGGGUGUGCACCUAGAUAGGAUCUAUCAAUCCUAGCAGAAGAGAGUAGUCCUAUGAGAUUUAAGAAGCUGAGUCUUUAAGUCUAUGGCCAUAGCAGUAUGAUUAA